rnacentral:rRNA from 1 species
AGUCGAGCGAUGAAAUUUUAACAGAUCCUUUCGGGGAGAAGAUAAGAUGGAUUAGCGGCGGACGGGUGAGUAACACGUGAGUAACCUGCCUUUGACACAGGGAUAGCCUCGGGAAACCGGGAUUAAUACCAGAUAACAUUAUCAGAUCGCAUGAGAAGAUAAUCAAAGCUGAGGCGGUCAAAGAUGGACUCGCGUCCCAUUAGCUAGUUGGUAGAGUAAUAGCCUACCAAGGCAACGAUGGGUAGCCGGCCUGAGAGGGUGAACGGCCACAUUGGAACUGAGAAACGGUCCAAACUCCUACGGGAGGCAGCAGUGGGGAAUAUUGCACAAUGGGGGAAACCCUGAUGCAGCGACGCCGCGUGAGCGAAGAAGGUUUUCGAAUCGUAAAGCUCUGUCCUAUGGGAAGAUAAUGACGGUACCAUAGGAGGAAGCCCCGGCUAACUACGUGCCAGCAGCCGCGGUAAUACGUAGGGGGCAAGCGUUGUCCGGAAUCACUGGGCGUAAAGGGUUCGCAGGCGGAAAUGCAAGUCAGUUGUGAAAGGCAGAGGCUCAACCUCUGUAAGCAAUUGAAACUGUAUUUCUUGAGAUGUGGAGAGGCAAGUGGAAUUCCUAGUGUAGCGGUGAAAUGCGUAGAUAUUAGGAAGAAUACCGGUGGCGAAGGCGACUUGCUGGACACAAACUGACGCUGAGGAACGAAAGCGUGGGUAGCAAACAGGAUUAGAUACCCUGGUAGUCCACGCCGUAAACGAUGAGUGCUAGGUGUCGGGGGAGACCUCGGUGCCGCAGUAAACACAAUAAGCACUCCGCCUGGGGAGUACGUGCGCA